GGGCCCGCACAAGCGGUGGAGCAUGUGGUUUAAUUCGAUGAUACGCGAGGAACCUUACCAGGGCUUAAAUGCAGAACGACAGAGGUGGAAACACCUCCUUCUUCGGACGGUCUGCAAGGUGCUGCAUGGUUGUCGUCAGCUCGUGCUGUGAAGUGUCGGGUUAAGUCCCAUAACGAGCGCAACCCCUAUUUCUAGUUGCCAGCGGUUCGGCCGGGGACUCUAGAGAAACUGCCAGCGUAAGCUGUGAGGAAGGUGGGGAUGACGUCAAAUCAUCACGGCCCUUACGUCCUGGGCUACACACGUGCUACAAUGGUAGGGACAGAGAGUUGCCAACCCGCGAGGGUGAGCUAAUCUUCAAACCUCAUCUCAGUUCGGAUCGAAGUCUGCAACUCGACUUCGUGAAGUUGGAAUCGCUAGUAAUCGC
rnacentral:rRNA from 1 species